CCUACGGGUGGCAGCAGUGGGGAAUAUUGGGCAAUGGGGGGAACCCUGAUCCAGCGACGCCGCGUGAGUGAAGAAGUAUUUCGGUAUGUAAAGCUCUAUCAGCAGGGAAGAAAGAAAUGACGGUACCUGACUAAGAAGCCCCGGCUAACUACGUGCCAGCAGCCGCGGUAAUACGUAGGGGGCAAGCGUUAUCCGGAUUUACUGGGUGUAAAGGGAGCGUAGACGGCGGUGCAAGUCUGAUGUGAAAGGCGGGGGCUCAACCCCCGGACUGCUUUGGAAACUGUAUGGCUGGAGUGCAGGAGAGGUAAGUGGAAUUCCGAGUGUAGCGGUGAAAUGCGUAGAUAUAAGGAGGAACACCAGUGGCGAAGGCGGAUUACUGGACUGUAACUGACGUUGAGGCGCGAAAGCGUGGGGAGCAAACAGGAUUAGAUACCCCGGUAGUC
rnacentral:rRNA from 1 species